GCGCCCAGCCAGGUUUUAAAAUUUUAAUCCAAGUAAAUAUAUUACAAGUAAAGAAAAAAAAUGGUAAACAAAAAAUAAAAGUCCCUCUCUCUGCUACCCUCCAAAUAUGCUUAGAGGUAAUUGCUAUUAAAACUUCCUUAUAUCUCCAGAAACUUUCCAUUCAUAUUCAAAGAUACACAUAUACCUUCCCAUUUAAAUAAAAAUCACAAAUGGGUAAGUCUAAAGAAUACAGUUCUUUCCCUUGAAACAAAUUUCCCCAGCUAUCCCCUCAAAUCAAAGUUAUUUUUUCCACACUAUUGAUUAACUUGAGGCUAGCCAUUACCAGCUUUCCAGCUGCAAUUCUGUUAGGCAGAGCACAGGUGCUGGGCCUAUUCUCUAAAAAGGAAAGGGAGGUAGGACUCCAGCUAGUGCUUCCCUGCUUUUAUUACACUUAUUCACAGGGACAUUAUGACUGAUCUGUGGAGAGGAAGCAAGGCAUAGUGUUUAAGGUGGCAGCUCUCAACACAGGCCACGUGAGCUCAAGUCCAGGCUCUACCAUGUAUUAGCUAUAUACCUUUGUUGCUCAGUUUCCUCAUCUGAAAAAUGAGGAAGUUAACAGUACUGAACUUAUAUGUUUGUGAGGAAUAAAGAGAAAAUUAGCAUAUGGAAAGCAUUCAGAAAAAUGCUCACAUGAGGAGCACUUAAAACAUACUAGGUAUGAUUUUUAAACAUACUCAACCAUGAUGCUUCCUAACCUGUUCAAGGGGCUGCAGCUGUUCCUUCAGGUGGUCAAUUUUCUCCAAUAAAUGGUGCUCUCUCUUUUUCUGAGACUCUUCUAAAUGCAGGACUGUAAAUAA